GCGGACGUGGCGGAAUUGGCAGACGCGCUAGAUUUAGGUUCUAGUACCGCAAGGUGUGUGGGUUCAAGUCCCUCCGUCCGCA
rfam:Cyanothece sp. PCC 7425, complete genome.